rnacentral:rRNA from 1 species
GAUGAACGCUGGCGGCGUGCCUAAUACAUGCAAGUCGAGCGAACAGACGAGGAGCUUGCUCCUCUGACGUUAGCGGCGGACGGGUGAGUAACACGUGGAUAACCUACCUAUAAGACUGGGAUAACUUCGGGAAACCGGAGCUAAUACCGGAUAAUAUAUUGAACCGCAUGGUUCAAUAGUGAAAGACGGUUUUGCUGUCACUUAUAGAUGGAUCCGCGCCGCAUUAGCUAGUUGGUAAGGUAACGGCUUACCAAGGCGACGAUGCGUAGCCGACCUGAGAGGGUGAUCGGCCACACUGGAACUGAGACACGGUCCAGACUCCUACGGGAAGCAGCAGUAGGGAAUCUUCCGCAAUGGGCGAAAGCCUGACGGAGCAACGCCGCAUGAGUGAUGAAGGUCUUCAGAUCGUAAAACUCUGUUAUUAGGGAAGAACAAAUGUGUAAGUAACUAUGCACGUCUUGACGGUACCUAAUCAGAAAGCCACGGCUAACUACGUG